rnacentral:rRNA from 1 species
UACGUAGGGUGCGAGCGUUGUUCGGAAUUACUGGGCGUAAAGCGCGCGUAGGCGGCUUUGUAAGUCAGAGGUGAAAUCCCGGGGCUCAACUCCGGAACUGCCUUUGAGACUGCAUCGCUUGAAUCCGGGAGAGGUGAGUGGAAUUCCGAGUGUAGAGGAGAAAUUCGUAGAUAUUCGGAAGAACACCAGUGGCGAAGGCGGCUCACUGGCCCGGUACUGACGCUGAGGUGCGAAAGCGUGGGGAGCAAACAGG